GCCUAGAUAGUAUAGUGGUCAGUACUUCUCGUUGUGGUUAACAUCCAACAUCCGAGAGGACCCAGGUUCGAUUCCUGGUCUAGGCA